AUGGCCUGGCAGGUUGCACUGAUCAUCCACACCACAGCGCUGCUGCGGAUUUUCCCAAGAGCACAGCCAACCCCGUUGCCUGGCCCCAAAGGCCUCUUGGAGUCAGGGAAGAGAGGUGCCCCGCAGAACUGCACAAUCUCUGGGGCAGAGGAAAGUACGCUACGUCUGGCAGGCCAUGAAGAAGCACAGGGGGCGUUACCCACUCACGGCUGCACAGCCUGCUUAGCCAGGCCUGCCCAGGACAACCUUGCUCAAAGAGGAAACUAACACUUUUGCUCUGACCUGUAAGUGUCACCUGACACUAAUAAGCAAGUGGACCCAUUGAGCCUGGCAUCCUUGGGAAGCUCUGCAUUGCGAACUGAUACCCAAUUCAGUGGGGGAACUGGGCUUCACGGCAGCAGCAACCAGGCACAGCAAAAUCAAGAGGCAAUCAUUGGGCCAUGCACGGUAGCUCACGCCUGUAAUCCCAGCACUUUGGGAGGCCGAGGCAAAUGGAUCACCUGAGGUCAGGAGUUUGAGACCAGCCUGGCCAACAUGAUGAAACUCCAUCUCUACUAAAAAUACAAAAAAAUUAGCCGGGCAUGGUGGCACGCGC
rnacentral:lncRNA from 10 species